rnacentral:rRNA from 1 species
CCUACGGGAGGCAGCAGUGAGGAAUAUUGGUCAAUGGACGAGAGUCUGAACCAGCCAAGUAGCGUGAAGGAUGACUGCCCUACGGGUUGUAAACUUCUUUUAUAAAGGGAUAAAACGAGGCUCGUGUGCCUUAUUGCAGGUACUUUAUGAAAAAGGAUCGGCUAACUCCGUGCCAGCAGCCGCGGUAAUACGGAGGAUCCGGACGUUAUCCGGAUUUAUUGGGUUUAAAGGGUGCGUAGAUGGGUUGUUAAGUCAGUUGUGAAAGUCUGCGGCUCAACCGUAAAAUUGCAAUUGAUACUGGCAGUCUUGAGUACAGUUGAGGUAGGCGGAAUUCGUAGUGUAGCGGUGAAAUGCUUAGAUAUUACGAAGAACCCCGAUUGCGAAGGCAGCUUACUAAACGGGGACUGACAUUGAUGCUCGAAAGCGUGGGUAUCAAACAGGAUUAGAUACCCCUGUAGUC